CUGAUAUUGAUCCGAUAUUAGCACAAACUUGUGCAUGACAAGUUUUGCACCCAGCUGCAACGUCUUUUUCGGACUCACUCCUUCUCCUUGCUACUUUGUUAGUACCUUAGUACACACUGUUGUUGUGAUUACGUAGGCUCUGCCUCCUUGAUCAGGGCGCUGCUAACUAGAGGUGCAGAAGUGGAGUCUGGAGUGGACUGCUUGUAUCGGAGUGCUGAUAUCGGAGAUUUUAGAAGAAGCCGAUAUAAUCCGAUAUUCAAUUAUUUGCUGAUAUCAGACCGAUAUCCAAUAUCAAUAUCGUAUUGGGACACCCCUAAUCUAAGGCACAGUUUCCAUUAUACAGCCAUUUUUACACACACAUGCAAACUUUAAGACAGUUCUAUACUUUCAUCUCAGGCCCACCGAGGAUCCCCUCACCCACCGAGCCCUGGGUAGUCAGUCCCACUUCCCUUUUUACAUAAAUACCCAUACAUGAGCUGUAUUAAUUACACAUCAGAAUUUACAUCAGUAUCAUUUUGCUUCUGAUGAAGCUGUUUUUAAAAAAUCCCUUGUUAUGCAUGAUAUAGUUCAUUUAUUUUUUAUAUUGCCUGUAUUCUGCUCAUAUUUCAGUCGAGGAUGCAGAUCUGCUGCUGAGAGCCUCAAUCCCAGGAGAGCAGCGGAACCAUACCUUUAUUUUUCUCUGAUCAUCUGCCUCACUGUUUGACGUCCAAAGAUCCGUCACAUAAUACUGAUGGGGAUGUCCUUUUUACUGCAGCAAGCAGACAAUUUGACAGUGCAUGGAAGUGUUUUCUACCCUCUGCAACAUUCACUGUCUAUAUUCUCACUGCAUGCACACCCAGAAUUACUGGUCACUUGCAUUUCUUGGCAAGCAAAAGUCACAGAAGGUGCUCAGCAGAGGGUCUAUGGCGGGCCUGGUAUUUUACAUCCUGUCCAUCCACCCACUCACUCCAAAGGAAGCAGAGUUCACCAGUGACUGCACCUUUCUAUCCAGAUGAGUCAUUUCUAGCCUUUACUAUUGCCAUGGAAACACAGGAUUCGUCCACAUGAUUGACAGUGAGGCCAUUAUAGAAUAUCUGAAUCUGUUAGCUUUAAAGUUGAAAAACGUAUGUCUAUGUGCUCAGAGAGAAUUAGUCAGCUGCUCCACACUGACUCACACAGUCAAUAAUGACCAAGUGUAUUUUUCUGUACCAGAUUAAGCUAGCUAGUUUAAGCUAACAGUGUGUGUCCUGUAGCGUGUGCUAAAUGCUCUUUCCUCAGUGUUUGUUCAGCAGUGAGAGGAAACAAGCAACUGCAGAAAACACCCCAUGACGUGUGUGAACACUUUAAACUACUUUUCGAUCAAUAAGAUUUGAAAAGCAUGAUCAGCAUGAGUGUAUGAAUCAAAGUGCUGCAGAUGAAGGUCAACCUCUUUUUUUGGUUCAGUUGAUGAAAACGUUCAGUCAGCCCAGCACCUUCCUAUAACUAACAUCAGUCGUCAGAUAUGCAAAGAUAAAAAGUCAGUUUGAACAAGCUGAGCACCUUUUUUUUUUUUUUUUUUACAUUCUGUUUACCAAAAUCUCAAAAGUGUUUUGCCUCCUUUAUGUGCACAUGAAAGUGAUCUCAGAUGUAGCUUGUUUUCAAAUGCCUCAAAUAUGUGCUUAAGCGCACAUGAAUAAAUGAACUCAGUUGAUUUUUGCAUCUGGUUACAGGCUUCAUCUUCUUCUGCACUAUUUCUCUCUUGGUUGUUUUCUGGUUCCUGGUUAGUCCAUUGACAGCCUCCAGCCUCCACAUAGCCAAAGCGAUGGUUUCUGCACUUUCAUGUUGUUGUUUUUUUGUGUACACUGCUGCCAUAGUCAGCAGCUUUAAGCACAGAAACAUAUUCUUUUGAUCAUCUGUUGCUUAUCAAAGUAUUAUCGAGAGGCAGUCUGCUCCAAGCCUUGCAUUGUCUGAGUCUGAAUGUUAGAGUUAUAAUUUACUGUUGCAUGUAGAUAUACUUUCACAUUCUUUCGCAGCUUUUUUGAUAAUCUCCUCUGCGGUUGGUGCUAUAGGGCCCUGCACAUCAAAACAAUCGAACACUGGAGUGGCAUUUUCCCAGAUGCAGUCAAAGUCAUGGCCAGAGCAAUCAAUCAGGUAAUGUAGAAAAAAAACAAUACCUGCAACCCCAGGGUUGUCAAAAUAAAUCGAUUUUCAACUUUACAAUGAUUUCAGAAUACAAAACAACACUACACAUCUCUGCUAGAGCAAAGUGAAAUACAAGUCCCAGUUUCACGACAGCCUUUUUCAACUUGCUCUCACUAUGGGUGCAGACUAAAGGGAUAUUGGGUGGGUUCUUUAAAAACUGUAAAGUGUUUCUCAUUACUUAUGACCCAAUAAAGGAAAGUUGUGCCUGUAGAAACUCCUCUCUGGCCUGUUUUCAAAUCUUAUUUAUUUUGCAUGUAUUGACAUUUCUGCUACCUAGUCCAGCUGAGUUUGGCGCCACAGUCAGUGACAAAGACUAUUUUUGUCAGUGUUUGUGUAAAGACGGUCCACAGUGUGUAAUGUUUGAGAGUUACAGAGUGUGACAGAGGACACAGUCGUCGCCAGGUGAAUGUUGCUUUUGCUGCACACAAACACAUUUCAGCACCUUCCUGCAGGAUUAUAGCAUGAGCAUGUAAAUGUUAUUGUUUUUAAGAACAUAAAGGCUGUGAAACUUCAUUGUUGAUAAUCCUAAAAGAUCGGUGCCAUAAAUUCUUCCAUAUUUUGCUUUUAAGCUGUGUUGCUUUACACUAAUACAAGCUGUAUGAACACAUUUGCAGUCACUUGUAAUCGACAUAAAUGGACUUUGUCAAAAAAGUGAAUUCUCACUCUAUGUAGCUGUUAUUGUAGCCCGUUGCAGGCGACUGAUUUUCAGAGUUGAUACUGAUACUUAUUAUUAGUUGCUAAUGACUUUGAAAAAUUCUGUGAAAAUUUAGAAUUUGACACAUUACAAAUUCCAACAAGACUUUCUCUCAAUUAUAAAAGCAAAUCUACAAUCAAAACUAAAACCUUAGCAUAAAUGCAGGGGUACACAGCAAUAUGAUUACAUUUACAUCAUACAGUUUUGAUAUCUGACCAAUCAGAGAGUGUUUUGAGCGGGACAUGAGGAGAGGCAGAGUGACCCAGAGGCAAAGACACUGUCAGUAGAGACUAAGUAGUACAUCUUUUGUUUUAUUGAUCUAUUGGUCGUCUGUUAAAGAAAAAAACUGCUACACAUAAUGAAACA